GAUGAACGCUGGCGGCGUGCCUAAUACAUGCAAGUCGAGCGAACGGACGAGAAGCUUGCUUCUCUGAUGUUAGCGGCGGACGGGUGAGUAACACGUGGAUAACCUACCUAUAAGACUGGGAUAACUUCGGGAAACCGGAGCCAAUACCGGAUAAUAUUUUGAACCGCAUGGUUCAAAAGUGAAAGACGGUCUUGCUGUCACUUAUAGAUGGAUCCGCGCUGCAUUAGCUAGUUGGUAAGGUAACGGCUUACCAAGGCAACGAUGCAUAGCCGACCUGAGAGGGUGAUCGGCCACACUGGAACUGAGACACGGUCCAGACUCCUACGGGGGGCAGCAGUAGGGAAUCUUCCGCAAUGGGCGAAAGCCUGACGGAGCAACGCCGCGUGAGUGAUGAAGGUCUUCGGAUCGUAAAACUCUGUUAUUAGGGAAGAACAUAUGUGUAAGUAACUGUGCACAUCUUGACGGUACCUAAUCAGAAAGCCACGGCUAACUACGUG
rnacentral:rRNA from 1 species